GCUGUGCCAGAGGGUUGCAGAUGUGGCUGUUGGGUCGCAUUUGUGUCAUGAGGUGGCAGAGAGAAGACAGGCUGUGUUAUGAGAUCCAUGGAUCUGAUUAUGGAUCCAUGAAUGUUUGAAUGAUUAAUAGUCGGACACU